AUUCUUUUAGUAUAAAAAUUAUAUUUGACUUCCAAUCAAAAGAUCUUGAUCAAAAGAAAGAAUU
rnacentral:tRNA from 1 species